GGGUAUUGAAUAAGCUGCUUCUUUAUGGAUUUGAUUUUUUGUGUACUUCUUUAUUGAUGGAUCCUCAAAUUAUGCAGAUUCUGGCGUUACUCCAUCAAUGAGCAUGCAACGGAAGAUAUCCCAGCUAUGAUAGAGAAGAUUCACGAUAUCAAAACUUCAGAACUGAUACUCUAUCAGCCUGCUAUGGAAGAGGUAGUAAAAGAGGAGCAACCUUAUAAGCUCUGUGUUGUAUCUCACAGUUUAGGCGGCGCCGCAGUUCUGAUGUAUGUGAUCACCCGUAAAAUCGAAGAGAAACCACACAGAUUCUCGAGACUGAUCUUGCUUUCGCCUGCUGGAUUC
rnacentral:lncRNA from 1 species